GUUAUAGACAGCCAUGUACAAGCUUGCCUUGAAGUUUUUGUUUUUGUUUUUAAAUCCCAAAUGGUAGAAUUAAACACAUGCACUGCCACUCAGGAUUUUGAAGAUUUCUUGUGUAUAAUAAAACAUAGACUAUAAGCAAACAAACAUACAACCAUCCAUUGCAAUUCUUUCAGCGCUACGUCUUAAAAGAGUUGUUGAUGUAUAACCAUCCAGGACUGUGGCGCAUCACCAGCUGACAAUUCUUCCCUGAUAAGUUCAUAAUCAACAGAGGGAAUGAGUCUUCCUGAAGCUGAAUCUAGAGGAUUAAGACCCAUUUUUUAGCACUUAAGCAGUAAAUGCUGUUAGUCUUAAUUAGGUAUUUUUGUAUCAAUCUUUUCUCAUGGUCUUCCAGGGACUCGGGGUUGGAAUAUCCUGUAAUAGUUCAGGAUAGUGUGAAGUAACCUUGCUGUUGAUUUGAGUGCUUUGAGCAGGAUUUAAAGGGUAAAAACAUGAAACCUCCUUCUCACCCAAAGCUGGAAGUAGCCACUGAUCCAGUAGAUGGCGCCUCUCACUCUUUUAUCAGUCUCUUCCCUUUCUGUUACUAAUUCAAGUAAUUUCCCCCUCCCGUUCUUUAAAAUAAAGUGGUAUUGUUGAUUAUUUUCACUCCCUUAGAAAAUGGGAGCCAAGUACUGGUAGUUAUGAAUCAGGAAAUCAUCAGGAGAGAAAACCCUGGUAUUCUCAUAACAAGCCUCACGGUAAUUUCAUGUGAGAGUAAGAACUAAACACCCUGACUUACAAAGGCAUGGCAGCAAGAGGUUCAGGAGUGAGCCUCUUGAAACUGGAUACCUGCAUCACACCUGCCAGGCUCAGAACAUAUGGGAGAAGACUGGGAAAGAAGGGAAGAGCCAGAGGAUAAGGAGGGGUGCCUUAAAAAGUCUGUGGGGAGUGGCUGGGUUGUUGCACCCGUGCAGCAGUAGUUACCUCUGCAAGCCAGGCGCAAUUCUGAGUCCACUGUCAUUUAAACAUGGGUGAGGGAGGGGCUACUGGCAGUUAAUGGUUGCUGGGAGAUUGGAUGCCAUUUUCUUCAGUGAUCUAACUAAUGAAAAGUUGCACAGCUUCUGCUGUGCAAACUGAGACUGAAUCAGAGAUGGAUAUCCAUUGGAUAAAGUUUUAACCAGUUUUUCUUCAACAUGAAACAUAGAACGACAGUCAUUCAGACAAAACAAAAACACACAAACUGACACAUGGUCAGACUGGUGCACCAAGGACAGACAAUGCAGAGAAGGAAGGAACUUGAUGUAACCAGAACUAAGGAUGCCUACUGUAGGGGCCAGAGAGGAAGCAAGAAGUCUCCCGAUUUCCUUCUGUCCCUGGGAGAGCUCUGAAAUCCAUUUUCCUUCACUUGAUCUCUCUCAUGUCAUUUGUAUAUCUAGCAUCUCCCUUUUGUUGUUUUUGUUUUUUAUUCUUUUUAUUUUAUCUUAUUUAUUUUAUUUUAAGCCCUACUCCUUUCAUCGGAUACAGUUCUUGACUACAGACAAAUGUUUGUUUAGAAUUUUCCAGCCCCAUUUUCCACUGUCAACCUCUAGCUGAUAUCAGCAUUGGGCUGACGCUGACUCAGUUUAACCUGUAUCCUUUUUGCACCAUUAAAAUCAACAGCCUUCAAAAGAUG
rnacentral:lncRNA from 1 species